rnacentral:tRNA from 1 species
GGGGAUUUAGCUUAGUGGUUCUGGCACCUGCUUCGCAAGCACAAGGACCUGAGUUCAAUCCCCGGUACCCCCA